CCUCCUCUAACAGUCAUUGUUAUUCCUGCCCUUUCACACAGUCUCUGAGCAGUACAUUUCAUCUGAUUGGAAUGCUUCAGGACAGCCUAACCCUGACUUCAGGCUCUUGUCUGACAGAAAGGCAUCCACAGAGAGAAAAAGAACUUGGCAGAACAGCUCCACCUUUUUAGUCUGCCAACAGGACCAAACAGGUCCUCAGUCCAGAGAAAUGAGAGCCACGGUUGUACACAAUAAAUUGCUGAUAUAAACAGCUUUAUUUCUACAUGGUCUGCGACUCACUGUGAUAACUGCAUGGUCAUCUCAGAAAGAAAAUGAGCCCCUCUUCAGCUGGGCAGGAGCACUUGAAGCCAAUGAGUUUGGAAAUUUGGACACACCAGUAACAAACAGGAAACCAUAUUCAUUACACUAAAGUCAGAGUUUGAUUAUGGUUCAUGGGGAUUUGCCAGUCAUUUGGGCUUAUUUUAGAGCAUGUAUACUGUAAACUGUAAUUCAGAGUGGCAGUUAUAUUACAUUCAAUUUCUGCCAAGCUCUGCCUCUGCCGACAGAAGAGAAAAAAUUGUUUCUUGACUUAGCAAAGAAGUGUAUUGCGUACUUGGAUUCAUCUGAUGAAACAAACUUGUUGCACCAAGGCGUGAGCAGGUUGCCUAAGAUGUUCUCUCAGCUAGACAAGUCUCUUGCGUGUUUCUUUUUAUUCUAAUUCUCUCAAUGUUGUGCAAAAGCUCAGUUUAAUGAUGCAAUUAUGGAUGACAGUACAGCACAGGAGU